rnacentral:rRNA from 1 species
AUUGAACGCUGGCGGCAUGCUUUACACAUGCAAGUCGAACGGCAGCGCGGGCUUCGGCCUGGCGGCGAGUGGCGAACGGGUGAGUAAUGCAUCGGAACGUGCCCAGUAGUGGGGGAUAGCCCGGCGAAAGCCGGAUUAAUACCGCAUACGACCUGAGGGUGAAAGCGGGGGACCGAAAGGCCUCGCGCUAUUGGAGCGGCCGAUGUCGGAUUAGCUAGUUGGUGGGGUAAAGGCUUACCAAGGCGACGAUCCGUAGCUGGUCUGAGAGGACGACCAGCCACACUGGGACUGAGACACGGCCCAGACUCCUACGGGAGGCAGCAGUGGGGAAUUUUGGACAAUGGGGGCAACCCUGAUCCAGCCAUGCCGCGUGCGGGAAGAAGGCCUUCGGGUUGUAAACCGCUUUUGUCCGGGAAGAAAUCCUCUGGGCUAAUACCCCGGGGGGAUGACGGUACCGGAAGAAUAAGCACCGGCUAACUACGUG